GAGUUUGAGAGUCCAUCUUAAUUAUACAUUGUAUUAUACAGGUGAGUGGUGACCCUUUACAUUAGCUACUACACAGUAAUAUUGUACCAUUCCUAUACCUGUCAUUGCUUGAUGCUUCUUCCUUUAGCUUAGGUUCGUCUCUACUUACUGAUUCGACAAACGUUCGAUCAGGAAGUAACCAAAUAAUGCAUUGUUUUAUAAUGUGUAUUUUGUGUAUCAAGCAAUGACAUAUGUCUUCAUAUGUAGCAUUUCAAGAGUUGGAACUGUUUACCCGAAAACAGCAUACCCUCUUGUUUGCUAUAGGUGGGAAUGGAUAGUCAGAAAUUUUUCUUUUCGUUCGAGGAUUAAAAAUAGGCCUCAUUUUUGAAUUAGAAGAUUGAUAGCCUAAAACUGCAAUUUCUUCUUUUUACUCUUCUGUUAUCAUUAUGGACAACAGUUUCACUUGCCUCUGGCAGCUAGAGAGGAUACUGGAUGACUUUACAAUUGAUUCUAAUUGCUCUCUGCUUCAAGUGCUUCUUGUGAGGUCUUUGAUAUCUUCAUGGAAGUCCAACCCAAUCGAAGUACUGAGGUUGUCUAAGUCUAAUGGUCUGGGCAAGUUAUUGCUGGAUUAUUGUAAUGCUAUUAUUAUUAAUGCUAGCAGGGACUGGCCAACCAGGC